GACGAACCACACAAACGUUAUUCGGAAUUACUGGGCUUAAAGGGUGCGUAGGCGGCGCGGAAAGUUGGGUGUGAAAUCCCUCGGCUCAACCGAGGAACUGCGCCCAAAACUACCGUGCUCGAGGGAGAUAGAGGUGAGCGGAACUUAGGGUGGAGCGGUGAAAUGCGUUGAUAUCCUAAGGAACACCCGUGGCGAAAGCGGCUCACUGGGUCUUCUCUGACGCUGAGGCACGAAAGCCAGGGGAGCAAACGGG
rnacentral:rRNA from 1 species